CACAGGUGUGGCUUUGAAACUACUUCUCUUGGCCCUCGUGCCGGUUGUUUACGGCGGCGGAAGUUCUGAGUCUGCUGCUAAUAAACCAAUUGAAGAAAUGUUAAAGGCGUGCAAGGGAGUGGACCCGUGCCCUGCGCGUAAAGUUUUGUUAUGUUUUUUUCAUGCUGGCACUACAAACGUGUUCCAGCAUAUGUGUGAAGAUCUCCAGGAUUGCAAGGGACAUUCGGACUACUGGAAAGAACAUUGCAAAGAUGGCGGUAGAGUGGAUUGUGCUGGUAACGACCCAAACUAUAGCAUUUGUGUCUGCUAUCCAAGAAAGUCUUAGGAUGUGUAUUCUUAUAAUUGCCUUAUUACGAUGAAAACCUUCUUGGUAUAUCUUCUUAGGAUGUGG